UUUAAGGGUUUUAAUACGCUUUCAUUUUAAUAAAAAGCAUAAAGGGGAUGACUUAAAUGGGAAUUAUUAUUUGCCAAUCAUGUAAUAAGACGAUCGAUGUGUUUGAGGGUGAGAAAGUCACAAAGCUUUAUGCAAAGGGAAAUGGAUGCGCUCAUUGCAAAACAGCUGAAGAGAAGAAAUAAUAGAUAAAAAAAGAAGGACUUCACUUAGAAGUCCUUCUUUUUUU
rnacentral:sRNA from 1 species